UACGUAGGGUGCAAGCGUUAAUCGGAAUUACUGGGCGUAAAGCGUGCGCAGGCGGUUUUGUAAGUCAGAUGUGAAAUCCCCGGGCUUAACCUGGGAACUGCCCUCCAAACUGUUUGACUUGAGUCCGGGAGAGGUGAGUGGAAUUCCCAGUGUAGCGGUGAAAUGCGUAGAUAUUGGGAGGAACACCAGUGGCGAAGGCGGCUCACUGGACAGGAACUGACGCUGAGGCGCGAAAGCGUGGGGAGCAAACAGG
rnacentral:rRNA from 1 species